AGUCGAGGGGUAACAGGGAAGCUUGCUUCCGCUGACGACCGGCGCACGGGUGCGCAACGCGUAUGCAACCUACCUCUUACAGGGGAAUAGCCCGAAGAAAUUCGGAUUAAUACCCCAUGGUAUUACAGAUUCGCAUGAUGAAGUAAUUAAAGAUUUAUCGGUAAGAGAUGGGCAUGCGUCUGAUUAGAUUGUUGGUGAGGUAACGGCUCACCAAGUCGACGAUCAGUAGGGGUUCUGAGAGGAAGAUCCCCCGCACUGGCACUGAGAUACGGGCCAGACUCCUACGGGAGGCAGCAGUAGGGAAUAUUGGUCAGUGGAGGCAACUCUGAACCAGCCAUGCCGCGUGUAGGAAGAAUGCCUUCUGGGUUGUAAACUACUUUUAUAUAGGGAGAAAACGCCAUGCGUGGUAAUAUGACGGUACUAUAUGAAUAAGCACCGGCUAACUCCGUGCCAGCAGCCGCGGUAAUACGGAGGGUGCAAGCGUUGUCCGGAUUUAUUGGGUUUAAAGGGUGCGUAGGCGGUUUAUUAAGUCGGAGUUGGAGUCCCACAGCUUAACUGUGGAACUGGCUCCGAUACUGGUUAACUUGAGUAUGGUUGAGGUAGGCGGAAUUUAAGAUGUAGCGGUGAAAUGCAUAGAUAUCUUAAAGAACACCAAUUGCGUAGGCAGCUUACUGGACCAUAACUGACGCUGA
rnacentral:rRNA from 1 species